rnacentral:rRNA from 1 species
CAAUAGCGUAUAUUAAAGUUGUUGCGGUUAAAAAGCUCGUAGUUGGAUUUCUGCUGAGAACGACCGGUCCGCCCUUUGGGUGUGUAUCUGGCUCUUUCUUGGCAUCUUCUUGGUGAACGUUGCUGCACUUGACUGUGUGGAGCGCUACCCAGGACUUUUACUUUGAGGAAAUUAGAGUGUUUCAAGCAGGCAUACGCCUUGAAUACAUUAGCAUGGAAUAAUAAGAUAGGACCUCGGUUCUAUUUUGUUGGUUUCUAGAGCUGAGGUAAUGAUUAAUAGGGAUAGUUGGGGGCAUUCGUAUUUAACUGUCAGAGGUGAAAUUCUUGGAUUUGUUAAAGACGGACAACUGCGAAAGCAUUUGCCAAGGAUGUUUUCAUUGA